CAAGAAUUCUAUACAUAAUCUGUAAUUAAAAGUUUAUCUUAAAUAUCCUGCAUUUAAACCUAUAUAUAGUCUCAAGGUCUAUUUCUAAAAACUUAUAUUUAAUGGCCCUUAUGUUUCAGAACAUAAUGGGAUAGACUAUAUUUUAUCCAAUUAAUGUCCUGUUAGCUCCAGGUUGUGCACUCAAGGUUUAUUAAACAUCUAAAUAAUUGUUUUAUGAUUUUCAACGAACAUUAAAGCUCUACUCUAAACUGAGAAACCAAUCGAUGUUUAUAAAAGUGAAUUCAGUCAAUAAUCUCGUGCUACCACCUGUUCUACCUGAACUCUGAACUUUAAAUAUAAACAGAUAAGCCUGGUUCCUCUGAUCUGAGUUGCUGCUCAGAUCCUCGUCAUCACAAACCUGCAGUAGCUGCCAUCUCUCCGCCGCUGCUACCAUCUCUCCGCCGUUGCUGCGAUCUCUCCGCCGUAGCUGCCAUCUCUCUGCCGUAGCUGCCAUCUCUCCUUUGUAGCUGCCAUCUCUUCUCCGUAGCUGCCAUCUGUCCGUCGUAGCUGCCAUCUCUCCUUGGAUGAAGUAGAACUACACUUCUCUCCGAACCCAACAGCUUGAAGAUAAAGCUGAAUUAUAAAAGAUAUCUCCCCUAUCAACCCUGAGUGCUAGAUCAAGUCCUGUAACUUUUAAGCUGAUCUUACCUGUACCUUCUAUUCCCCAGUCUCUGUCGGGAUAACAAUAGGUACAUAUUAGUUUCUUGUGAUGAGUGUGAACUAUUCCUUCGAGUUAUGAACAAUUGAAAACACAUAUUAAAAGUUAAAGACUAUAUCUUUCAAUAUGAACUCACCGUGAUAUUUUUAGUUGUGUACGAGAUAUGUUGGCUAAGAUCUAAAGAGCUAUUAACCUCCGGCCUAAUCAACUUUGUAAGUGCAUUUUUAAAUCACAUUGUUAUGUUAUGACAUUUUCACAUUACACACCUGGAGCAAGCUUUAUUGGCAAACUUUAAAUGUUUAUUAUUUCUAUUUAUUACUAUUCUUUUAAUAUUCAUAUUAUAAAUAAUCUAAGCGUGACUGACUUUGUAUUUUUCAGUUUCACGGCUUAGAGCUCUUGUUCCUGUAUCUUUAGACUAAAUAAAUAAGAUUAAGCAAGACUCUAGUGUAUAAACGAGGUGCGCUGGUGAAAGAUGUAUGCCCAUCUUAAUGUUAAUAGUAUGAAUACCUGUGGAUCUAAGGUAUUGGUAUUCUUGGUUCUAUCCUAGACCUUGAAAAUGGCACAACGGUUUCCCAUAUACUCCUAGACCU